GCCGCCUUAGCUCAGUCGGCUAGAGCGUCUCACUCGUAAUGAGAAGGUCGUCGGUUCUGAUUCCGACAGGCGGCUCCA
rnacentral:tRNA from 1 species